CUAUCAGAAUAAAGCCAUAAGGGAGACUAGACAUUUCCCACCCCAUUACCACUAUUAGAUUAGAGCCAUAAAGGAGACUAGACAUCUCUCACCCCACUACCACUAUCAGAUUAGAGCCAUAAUGGAGACAUCUACCACCCCACUACCACUAUCAGAUUAGAGCCAUAAAGGAGACCAGACAUAUACCACCCCACUAUCAGAUUAGAGUCAUAAGGGAG
rnacentral:lncRNA from 13 species